rnacentral:rRNA from 1 species
AACGUAGGGCGCGAGCGUUGUCCGGAUUUAUUGGGCGUAAAGAGCUCGUAGGCGGCUUGUUGCGUCGGCUGUGAAAACCCGUGGCUUAACUGCGGGCUUGCAGCUGAUACGGGCGGGCUGGAGUUCGGUAGGGGAGACUGGAAUUCCUGGUGUAGCGGUGAAAUGCGCAGAUAUCAGGAGGAACACCGGUGGCGAAGGCGGGUCUCUGGGCCGAUACUGACGCUGAGGAGCGAAAGCGUGGGGAGCGAACAGG